GACGAACGCUGGCGGCGUGCUUAACACAUGCCAGUCGAACGGAAAGGCCCUGCUUUUGUGGGGUGCUCGAGUGGCGAACGGGUGAGUAACACGUGAGUAACCUGCCCUUGACUUUGGGAUAACUUCAGGAAACUGGGGCUAAUACCGGAUAGGAGCUCCUGCUGCAUGGUGGGGGUUGGAAAGUUUCGGCGGUUGGGGAUGGACUCGCGGCUUAUCAGCUUGUUGGUGGGGUAGUGGCUUACCAAGGCCUUGACGGGUAGCCGGCCUGAGAGGGUGACCGGCCACAUUGGGACUGAGAUACGGCCCAGACUCCUACGGGAGGCAGCAGUGGGGAAUAUUGCACAAUGGGCGGAAGCCUGAUGCAGCAACGCCGCGUGCGGGAUGACGGCCUUCGGGUUGUAAACCGCUUUCGCCUGUGACGAAGCGUGAGUGACGGUAAUGGGUAAAGAAGCACCGGCUAACUACGUG
rnacentral:rRNA from 1 species